rnacentral:RNase_P_RNA from 1 species
UCAGUCGGCCGGACGGCCGCUCCCGCUGGUGCCGAAAGGCCGCGGGAGAGGAAAGUCCGGGCUCCAUCGACAUGCGGUGCCGGAUAACGUCCGGCGGGGGCGACCCCAGGGAAAGUGCCACAGAGAACGAACCGCUUGCCCCCACCCUACCCUCCCCCGCUUGCGGGGGAGGGAAAGGGUGGGGGCGAGUAAGGGUGAAAAGGUGCGGUAAGAGCGCACCGCGUUUCCGGCAACGGAGACGGCAUGGCAAACCACACCGGGAGCAAAACCGAAUAGGGACGGCAACGCGGUUAGUUCGCGCAUGCGCGAUAACACCGCAGGGCGAUGUCAGGCCCGCUGUCCGGGUAGGUUGCUCGAGGCAAGGUGCAAACCUUGUCCCAGAGGAAUGGCCGUCGCGUACCAUUCGCGAGAAUGGUGCCCUACAGAACCCGGCUUACAGGCCGGCUGAUAUU